AGCUGCUCCAAGGACUCUGGAUACAACAUGAGGAGAAAUAAGAAAGGACUUGACUUUUGAGGGCUGGCAGAAUAUGUACACCAAAGACAACAAAAUCAGCCAUGGUCAGAGAUAGCUCUAAGCUUCCAGACAUAGGAAAUGAGAAGCAUUGAAACUAACUAACUCAAUGCAUACUUCUGAGGGGAAGAGAAAACUAACUUGGAAAGCAGACUGGAAGCAAGCUUCGCUAAUAAGAAAUUAUUAUCACAAGGUUUCAUCAGACUGCCCUGCCUGUAUACAACCUGAUAUGACCAUCUAUAGAGAAAUGGAACUGACGGUGAGCAUGAUUCAAGGUCAUUGGACAAAGGGAACAAAUUGUUUAGCCUCUUGCUGGCUUUUGACAUCCACAGAACCUAGCAGGAAAUGGUUUGACGGGGAAAACAUGAUUGUCCUCCAACCAUGUGCAGCCAGCCAGCUGAUUUCCUGAAGUUCAGAGUUUGGAGGAGAAAAGAAAGCAAAGAGGCAACUUUUUUUUCAGCUGUUCCAGGAGAAGCUCAGCAUCAUUGAUCGUUAUCUCAUGCAUUGUGGAAGUUACCUCAUCGUAUAAGGGCAGAAAUACCUCACAGGGAACUGUGUGUUUCCCACAACUCUCUGUAUGCCUGCUAAUGGUAAUAUAGGGGUUGGAGAAAUUUGUAAGGUAGAAUCAGUUGUGUGCUGAGGGGAAAAUGGGAAAUGCUGGCUAGGAGAGAGGGGCUGCAAGGAGAAUCCAUGCACUCUUCUUCUGCUUGUCAAUUCUCAGCUGGAAAUGCUCUUGUCCUCUGCAACAGAUUUAAGCGGCAAACACAACUUUCUGGUACAUGGUUCCCCACAGUGGUGCUCUUACCUGUGGGGACCCCACAAUCCUCCUUAGUCUGUCCUGGGUGGUGUGGUCACUGCUGGCCUGCACUGGGCAGCCAAGUGUGAUUAUGACUGUGCCGGGUGCUUUAGAGACUGUGGGGGGGAGUGGGGAAAGAAAUAUGUGGGAUGGAAAUAUGUUAAGUUGCAUGUUGAAAUGUUUCUGUUAAUGCAUAUUUACAUAAAUAUACCUGAUUUAUUUAUUUAUUUAUUUAUUUAUUUAUUUAUUUAUUUAUUUAUAUUUAUGUACCGCCCUUCCAACAAUGGCUCAGGGCAGUUUGCAACAAAAUAAAAACAAUUAAAACCAGUUAAUAAUUAAAAUCCAAACUAUAGAAACAGAA